rnacentral:lncRNA from 1 species
GUGGGUUCAUUUGCUUUAUUUUUAUUUGGGACUGGGCGGGGAGAGGUGCGGAAUGUGUUUGGUUUUUGACUUUUUGUUUUUGGCUUGGUGGCUUGGGAUUGCUGGUGGUUAUAUUUUGAUGAUUUUCGGAUUUUUGCCUUUUGCAAGUUUGUGGUGUUACGUAAAUCAUAGGAUCCGUCAUCAGCUGGGUUUUGUUUUGUGUGUUUUCUUUCCCUAUCUAAUCGCUCAAUCCUUUUUUAAAGAUGUAUAUUUCAAUACUGGUACUAUUGGAAGAAGCUUACAUUUUUGGUUAUUUGUGACCAUCCCAACCCCUGCUUUUUUUCUUCCUUCGGUGCAAUUUCCUUUUUCACUUGGACUUUUACUGAAGGGAGCCUCUCCUGCACUUAAGAGAAUUGUUCAAAAGAUUUGUUUUAAUUUGGUUUGUUUCUUCCCAGGACAGCGAUCAGUGGAUUUGCUCUGUUAUUGUUGACUCUUAGGAAAUUUUUUGUUGUUGCAAGAAAUGUGGCAUUUGGGUAUGUGUGUGCGUGUGUCCUACAGAAUUCUUAGCCAAAUACAUGUUUGUGUUUUGCCUUUCCUUAAGGUCUUGAAUUUUUUUUCUCAAGCUCAGUUUCAAGGUCGUUGUAAAAAAAUCUCUUCAGUCUGUUGAAGAGGGAAUUCUAAAGGCCUGGCGUGGCUGUAUCUCAGAUACUGCGUGUAUUUAGAACAGACUGUGCUACAACUCAGGCGCACUGCUUGGAGCACAGUCCUCUCAGCUUUGAGCUGAGAUGAGGGGAAGAGGAGAGGAGGAAAUCUCUUUCUCUUUUUCUUUAUUCCCUUCCUUUAAAAAGCAUACACAGUGCAGAAUCAUUUCACUGUGGGCCCUGGUUUGUUUGUUCAGAGAUGCCAGUUUCCCUAUUUAAAUGUUGGUUGGGUUUUUUUCCCCCUCCUACUCAUCCUUGAAUGAGGGAGCCUCUUGUUUCCUUUAUAUCUCUCUGUUAAAAGAAGGAUGUGAGGGGAAAAUAAUAUUUCAGAUUCCUCAAGAAUUAACCCAAAAUGUUUGGACCAGAAGCAGCUUUCAAAGAUCAGGCUGUUCUGAGCUUUGGCUAGGAGAGAGUCCUUCAGGCAACUCAUUAAAUCGAAGAUGAGUGCUUAAAGGUUCCAGAAAAUUUCUUCACAUAUUAAUUUCUAGUAAAGGUAUCUCCCGAAAUAGUCUGCCUAUUGCAACCCAAAAUGUGGGUUUAUAAUGGGAAGAAGAUUGCUGCUUGUUUGCUGAAAUGUUGGGAACCUCUUAGGCUGACAGCCGCUUAAGAAGUUUCACCUAUCCCAGAGAAUGCUGUUAUCAGUAUACCUCUACACACACACACACACACACACACACACACACGCUUCUCAAGAGGCUGUGUGUUGCAGGUUUUAGAACCAGGGGAAGUCCAAAAGGGUUGAUUAUUUUCCACAAGGGCUAGAGCUGAAGAAAUAUGCAUAAGCGCCUGUCCCUGUGAAAUCUGAAUAUUUUAAUACUUAUUGACAGAUGGAUUACUGCAGCUUCUGCAGAAAAACCCGUCUUGUGAAGGAUUUCUGAAAAAUAUACUAGGCCUAAUCCUGUCACUGUUGUUGCAAUGAACAUUUUACCCCCAAAGACACAUGACUUUGUCCACUGCAGAUUUGCUCUGCCAGGUGGCAGAAUACCUGCCUUUUUAUUUGAGUCCCCUUCCCCCUAGUUUUGAAGAGUUUUAAAUGAAUCCACUGGACCCAAAAUGAUAUCCUGAUUUUGCUGAGGUGGUUUUCUUUGUGUAUUUAUAUAUGUCUGAUUUCUACCUUUUGUAAGGAAUAAGCACUUUAGAAUUUCUCAGAUGCUCCUAUAUGGUUUGGCAUGUGAAUUACAUGGCUCUGCUAUAUUAUUGGUCCUAUAAUAGGAUUACUUUUGUGAUCUUUGGCCACUUUUCUUGUCAAAACUGCCAUCUAUUUCAUCCCACUCCCAACUUUAAACACACACAGCGGGUGCCUCUUGUGUUCCCGUUGCCGCUCCACUCUUAGCCCCAUGGGGGCGCUGCCGAGCAAAGGGAAAUCUGCUCCCUCAGGCAGUAGAAGAAGCCUACGUGGGGGCUGGGCAGGAAUUCUCCCUUCUCUGGCCUCAGCCCUCUUAAAUUUUCUGCGGGGAGACUCUGCAGGGAGAGAAAACCCACCAGGCUCGCUCGCUUUACAGAUAGUUAACCCCAUUACUAGACCCUCAAACCUUAGCAUUUUGUUUCUGGUACCAAGUGCCAGAGCCCCACGCUUUUACUACUCCCCGCAAGUCAAUGUGUUUACAUGCAAAGAAAUUGACCAGAACAGGACAUGCAUUGAAAAGAGACUGGGUAACGGGGAGAAAGAUCAUUGAGAAUGUUCUAGACACUUACUUUUGGCUGAGCCUCUUUUUCUCUCAACUGAAUAACUGGUGAGGAAGAUUACGCACCCCGGACGCUACCUCCUCAAUCCCUAGGAAAGUAACUUCAUCGAAUUCAUAUCGAUUGAAUUCCUUCCCGAAUGUCCUUCCUGCCACUGUGGGUGGUCUCGGCCCACUCAGUUCCCAUUGGCAUCGUGAUGUGGGCCUCCCUCCCUCAACAGCGUUAUGUUGUGGCAGCAGAGAAAGGACUGACUUGAAUAUAUUCAAAUUCUUUUAAAUCAUCUUCAGAAGCCCUGAAGAGUGGUUCCGUGUCUGGGGUCUUGUGAGUGCUUCCUGCAGACUUGGAGACACUGUGUAUCAACUAAUGUCAUCAUUUAACGGUCCCUGGUUGUUAGUACUCUGAGGACCAGGCCAGCUACUUGGCCUCAUGGAUUGAGCCCAGGAAUAGGUCCCUGAUUACAGCUGCUGGAUAAAUACGAACUUUAUUACAAAAUUAAACACCCUGGUCCUAAUAUUACAGCUAUUUAAGGACAGGGACACAUUUUACAUCCAGUUCCCUUCACAAAACCUUCCCCAUUAUUCAGUUCUAGCUGAAAAGGAACCUAUCCUUGGAAUAAACAUGGUCUGGUCUGUCCUUCCUCUUUCUCUUCUCUUUUCUUUUUCUUUCUUCUGGUGCUGAGAUUGAACCCAGGGCUUUUGCACUGAGCUACCACCACAGCCCGUCGGGAUUUUUGUUUGGUUUGUUUUUGUUUUUUGAGACAAAGUCCUGCUAAGUUGCCUAGGCUAGGCUUGAACUUGCAACCUUCCUGCCUCAGCCUUCCUCCCCUCUACGGAGCUCAAAACGGGAAGUGGGUUUUACCUGUCAGGAACCUCUAGUACCUUGGCAGGCCUUUAAAUGAACAAAUCACAGGAUUAUAGAUUUGGGUGCUGGAAGGAAAUCUCAUAGAUCAAUCCCUCCUCCAAGCUUCCCUCUUUCAAGAGAGUGAAGUGAGCCUUCACAAGAGUUGUGUACAGCCCUCGGAACACAACUGAAAAUAGACCCGUGUGGCUUGAGAGUCUUGUGUUAUUUUAGAAAAUCAGGUUGAGCCGAUGUCUGGCUUUGGAGACAGGUAUCUUGUUUUUUUUUUUUUUUCAAGAGUAAGGAAAGCAAGGCCGCAUUGAACCCUGUGUAAACUCCAAACGGUUCUCAGAAGCAGCUCCUGCUAACAAUGAGUAUGGGAGUCUCCAUGGUGUUCCGGCUUGGUUAUGCUUGUGACUUAUGCUGCAGUACUCGACACUGUACUUUUGAUGAAUACUAAAGAUAUUAUCUAUCUGACUUGUUAAAUUUUACCUCUUUAUUUCAAAUCCUUCAUUUAGAACUGUUUUAAAACAAGCUCUGUGUAUUAUCCUUGGAUAAAAAAAGAGUUUCUUCGUAAGUUGUAAAGAAAUUGAGGAGACUGAGGAUGUAGAUUAGUGGUAAAGCACCUGUCUAGCCUACUUGAGGCCUUGAGUUCGAUUCCCAGCACCUCCAACAAAUUAAGAUUAAAAAUAAAUUGAGCAGAAAGUUCGGAGACAUUUAAAAAGAUAAAGAGGAUGAUUUCCAACUACUGAGUUCUGAGAAGGAGCCACGGAUGUUUAAUUUUGAUGCAUAUGUUGCCAGCCAGCGUUCAGCCUUUAUUAUUCUGAGAUAUUUUUUCCCCUUUCGCAAACUUUUUCAUCCUGGUUCAGAGCCCCCCCCCAGCAUUGCUUUUCCCCACUCCUCUCACCUAUUUAAAGUGGAAAUAAAUAUCUGCAGCUUAAAAUAGAGAAGCGAGGGGGUUGGGGGCACACGUAAUCAUUUGUUUAUUGCAUUUGAUCACUGUUUUGAAUAACAAGGUUUUCACUUCCUAUGAAACUUUAGCAUGAGGGAAAGCAGCAGCUGGACUCUGAGAGAGAAGAGGGGCAGGAAGGGACUGGAGUGUUUGUAAACAGGAGAGUGGCCCUCUGCUGCCUGCUGCUCCUAGCUCUCUCUACUACCUAAGGCUAGAAGUGGAAAAACUUGAUUUGCAUGUUGUGCCUGCAUUUUUUUCCCUUUCUUCUUCCCCACACCGCCCUCUGUACACCUGACCGUGCACAAGCCUAUCUGGUACUGGCUCCAUGGCAGGGAGCGCUGGAGAGAGGAAGAAUGUGCCCAGGGAGGGAGCACUCGGUACUUUUCCAUUCACAUCUCCACAGUGGCUUUUCUUGUUUAUUUCAACCUCCACCCGCAGAAACCUUUCAGCUGCCUGAAAUUCGAGUCAUUAAACUGUUCCCUGAGGUCAGACUACAGAGGCUGGUGCAUGUUUCCUACAUGUCAGGGUCCAGUAACCUAUGUACAUACAGAGACGCAAUCCUAACUCCGAGGGAGUGCGGUGUGACAGAGGAGAAUAAAACUGGACGCGUUGCCAAAAAACCCUUGGUUUCUAAUUACAGCUCUGCCUGGAACUUUUUAUGGGACAUUGAGCAAAGUCACUUGUGAGGACUCAGUUUUCUCAACUGUACUAGGUGUGACCUAGAUGAGCGCAUUUCUGCUCUGAGUCCUAUACCUGAGCAUCUAGACACACAUUUACAUAAUUUAGGGUGAGGAGGAAGAGUUGUGUGUAUCUGUGUACAGGGGGUGGGGAAAGGGGUUGAAAUAUAAACUUCUAAGGAGGCAGUCCUGGAAUCCCUCGCUCUAUCAAUUUUUAACCAAUUAUAGACCAAAGUCUGGGAUUAUGCAGACUGCAAAACCGAUUGAAGAUUUUAAAGGUUAAGAGUUGAAGGAGGCAGGUUUUUAAGACCUUGUACUUUUGAUCUCCAGUAUUCAUAAUCAGAAGUGACACUUCCGGGUGCCUUUUCCACCCCAUAAUAGUUCUUCUCCUUCUCCCUUUUUUCUUUUUCUUUUGGGCAACUGUCCCAGUCAGUGAUAGGAAGGAGGUGAUCCUUGUGAACUGGGUAGUCUUUAAGCCACUAGGCUCUAUGUGGAUGUGGAAAAUAUUUCAUAACAUCCUGAAGAAGGGACGGAAGGAGGAAGGAAGAAAGGGAAGGACUUAAAGAGAUUUUCCAGGUCAUCAGAAACAAGCAAAGUCUGAGAAUCUGCCACAGCCAACAAUAGCUGAAGGAGACGUGACAACUUGAUGUAAUGCAAUGCCCCGGAUGCAGUCACAGACCACGAAAAGACACAAGAUAAACUUCAACAAAACUGAAUCAAUGAUGGAUUUUAGUUAAUAAUAAUGCCUCAAUAUUUUUCACUGUUAUAAAUGUACUAAUUUCAGAUGUUAAUAAAGGGGAAACUGGCUGCAGUGUUGUUCUCGGUACCAUUUUAUCAAUUUUCAUGUUAACCUAAAACUUUUAAAACGAAGUCAGUAAGUUGGAAAAAUAUAUACUUAUAAAGUUUUGGAAUUUUUUUUCAAUAGUAGAAACCUCCUAAAAGUGACUUAGACCUCUGAAAGGCUCACUUCCCACUCAGUCAUUUUCCUAACACAGAGUCAGGAAAGUGGGGGUACCAUACUCAUUCUUUGAGUUUACUAAAUUGAAAGCAAUUUAGUUUCUGAAUGCCACCAUCUGUAUAAUGAACCAUCAGAAAAACACUAGGGCGGCUGGGCAUUUAGCUCAGUGGUUUCGCUGCCUGCUGCGCAAGCUCAAGGAUCCAAGUUUGAUCCCCGGUAACCUCUCCCCCCCCCAACAAAACCCACUAGGGAGGCACCAAA